rnacentral:rRNA from 1 species
GAUGAACGCUAGCGAUAGGCUUAACACAUGCCAGUCGAGGGGCAGCAUGGUCUUAGCUUGCUAAGACUGAUGGCGACCGGCGCACGGGUGCGUAACGCGUAUGCAACUUGCCUCACAGAGGGGGAUAACCCGUCGAAAGACGGACUAAUACCGCGUACACUCUAUUUUGGGCAUCCAAGGUAGAGGAAAUGAAAUUCGCUGUUAGAUAGGCAUGCGUCCCAUUAGCUAGUUGGUGAGGUAACGGCUCACCAAGGCGACGAUGGGUAGGGGAACUGAGAGGUUGAACCCCCACACUGGUACUGAGACACGGACCAGACUCCUACGGGAGGCAGCAGUGAGGAAUAUUGGUCAAUGGGCGAGAGCCUGAACCAGCCAAGUCGCGUGAAGGAUGACUGUCUUAUGGAUGGUAAACUUCUUUUGUAGGGGAAUAAAGAGGGGCACGUGUGCCCCAGUGAAUGUACCCUACGAAUAAGCAGCGGCUAACUCCGUG